AUGAGAUGAAGCACGGCAGGUUGAUAGGGCUACCUGACCAAAGUGGAUGCAGAAACGGUCGGAUAGAGAUUCAACCGCGCCAAAGGCCCAGCAAGAGCCACAAUGCCCCUGCCAUUUCCAUAAUCGAGUCAUUCCAAUGCCCCACCAGCGCUGAGCAAACCAAUUGAAGUGUUAAGUGAAAUUAUAAUCGCUCGCUUUACCUGAUCUGCGGUCCAGCAAUUGACAAAAUUCCAAAAGAGAUACCGGCACACAUAGACAUAGCAAUGUGUCAGCUACUCACAGUCAACGGAGACCCAAACAACACAAGAAGUGGAGAGAGCUGAUAGAUCACAGAAGGGGGUUUGUCACAGACCAAGUAUCCUGCCGAUGGUACUGCAAUGGGACCAAGCACUCCUAGCGUCGAACUCCUUGGGAAGCGUCACUUUCAGAGAUUCUGGGUGUCGUCUCACAGGAAAAUCGAGAAGACGGUUCUUGGGCAGAGGCUUAACACCGAGGAGACGCUUGAAUUGCGCAAACUGUUGAGAAUGUGCAGCAUAGAUUGUCAAGGGCUGAACAUUAGAGGAACAAUGGAUGAUUGCCGCUAUGGCCGAUCUACAGGGGUUCCCACCGUGUAAUUGGAGAAGGCGGCGUUCAUGUCCGCCCGCCACCCUGCGUUGGGGUUGGAGUUGACCUCCCUUACAAUGGAUUCCUGCACCAGAUGCGGAAGAAAAUUAACCAGGCUAGCGGACGACCAACUAAUCAGAAGCCAAACCAAACGAGAG
rnacentral:lncRNA from 1 species